UACGUAGGGUGCAAGCGUUAAUCGGAAUUACUGGGCGUAAAGCGUGCGCAGGCGGUUUUGUAAGACAGGCGUGAAAUCCCCGGGCUCAACCUGGGAAUGGCGCUUGUGACUGCAAGGCUGGAGUGCGGCAGAGGGGGAUGGAAUUCCGCGUGUAGCAGUGAAAUGCGUAGAUAUGCGGAGGAACACCGAUGGCGAAGGCAAUCCCCUGGGCCUGCACUGACGCUCAUGCACGAAAGCGUGGGGAGCAAACAGG
rnacentral:rRNA from 1 species